GAUGAACGCUGGCGGCGUGCCUAAUACAUGCAAGUCGAGCGAACAGACGAGGAGCUUGCGCCUCUGACGUUAGCGGAGGACGGGUGAGUAACACGUGGAUAACCUACCUAUAAGUCUGGGAUAACUUCGGGACUCCGGAGCUAAUACCGGAUAAGAUAUUGAACCGCAUGGUUCAAUAGUGAAAGACGGUUUUGCUGUCACUUAUAGAUGGAUCCGCGCCGCAUUAGCUAGUUGGUAAGGUAACGGCUUACCAAGGCAACGAUGCGUAUCCGACGUGAUAGAGUGGUCGGCCACACGGGAGGUGAACCAGCGACCAGGCUCCUGCGGUACGGAGCAGAAGGGAAUCGUCCGCAGAGGGCGGGAGUCUGGCAGAGCGGGGCCACGCGAGAUGUGGCGGCGUUGCGUGCGUGAUGACGUCUUAUGGGGGGUAAACAACUGUGGACGGAGACGUGCAGGUCUUGACGGUACCUGGUCAAGAAGCCACGGCUAACUACGUG
rnacentral:rRNA from 1 species